rnacentral:lncRNA from 1 species
CAUUUCCUUUCGUGGUACAGAACAUUACCGGCAUUAAAAAGAAAAAAAAUAAAAAGAAACAUAUUAGUUAAAAUCUUUUUUUUUUUUUUGGGAUUAAGAUAUCAGCUUUAAUAUAUUGUUCAGUGAAAAAAGCAAAAUUCAGAACAGCAUGUAUAGUAUGCCACCAUUUGUGUAAAAAAAAAAAAAAAACCUGAUACACACAUACCCACACACAAUAUGCUUGUAAAUACAUGGAAUAUCUCUGGAAUGAUACAUCAGUAACUGGUAACAGUUGUUACUUUUUGAAAAUGGGACCAGGGAACUGAGGCCAGGGGUGAGAAGGAGGAAGAGAGACUUACUUUUUAAUAGUAUACCCUUUUAUACUGUUUGACUUUUACCAUAGGCAUGUGUUAUUUUUCUAAAAAACAAUUUAUAUAUUAAAACUGUAAAAAAGAAUCAAAAUAGAUACCAGCUUUAUAGCUGAUAGAGCUGGAUUGGAGAACAUGGCUUGGACCUGAGGCUGAAAUGAACUUCUAUCAUAAGUCUAACGACUUUGGGAUUCCCCCACCCCAAGGAGAGAUAGUUGGGUCUAGAAAGCAGAUGUUUACCCAGCCAUGUAGUGAAGGACUGCAGUCUUUCCCACAUCUUGCUGUGUGGAACGAACUCAAGAUCCAAGAGUGGCCUAAGCUGCCUAUCCAUUAUAACCAUUUUCUCAAUCUCAUCAAGUUAUUCCUCCUCCCAAGCAUAAGAUUGAAUGAGUGUAAGAGAAGAUGGGUAGAACUUUCUUCCAAACAUUUUUGAGAGAUGCAAGUCUUUUCCUUUUCUUGAGUCAGGAGCAUGGAGAGAGGAAGAGGAUAGAUCCCAUCAUACCCUUGUACAUUUUCAUUCUCUUAAGCCACAAUGGUUAAUGCUCAAGACUCUGGUCAACAAACAGGGCUGUGGCUGUCCCCUUCCAGGGAGACCAACAGUAUCUUAGAAAAGUUCUGCUCCCAUCAAUGUAAGAUUGGUGAGCAGUUGUUUUUGCCCCCAAGAGGCUCUGAAAUAAGUCAAAAUAGAACAGUAAUUAAAUUAACUCUAAGGCUACAUUACACCCUAGACUGAAAAUUUGAUCACAAUUGCAGCCCUAAUUUACAAUUAUGUCCAGCCAUAUUUCCUGACAUAGCUGACAACAAUUAUACAAUGACUCCCAAAGAUAGCAUUAAAAUACUCCAAAUAAUACAAUAUCAACAACAUAAUAAAAAUGCCUUAGUUUGAACUAUAUGACCUCACCCCCACCCCAUCAACUAUUAAACUCCAAGGGAAAAAGGACUGCCCAAAAUUAAAUUUCUAAUUCAAAGUCCAAAAUAAUUAAAGUCCAAAAUUCUGCCUUUCCCAAUUUCUCGUUUUUCUCAUUUCAGCCAUAUAGAUCUCACAAAGAUGUCUGCCCAGAUAUGGGGUUCCUUCAGCAGCUGCAGCCUUGGCUGUCUUCCUCUUGACUGGGUGAAGUUCCUUCAGGACCUCAGGAGUUGAAUUAAUCUAACCCCACAAUUGCAUGUCAUACAUAUUAAAGAGUCCAAAGGGUCAAGAAGACAUAAGAUUAUCACAAUAUCAACCUCACAUCAAAAAAAUUAGAAAGCACACUAGUCCCCAGCCACUAGAACAGUUUUUUUAAGCAAAUAUAUGACCCCAGGACUUAGAACAUAGGGCAAUACAGACCCACAUUGCUGUUGUCAGUCAAACAUCAUAGUAGAGACUUAGUGGCAUCAAAAAGCAAAAGUAGACAGAUAAAACAUAGGAGAAAAGAGAACAUCUUCUUUGUUUCAUCCUCAGCAGGAUGCCAAUCUGUGCCGGUAGUCUGGACUCCAUGACCUGUGAACUUAAACUAAUUUGGAAGAUAUCUUGCAGUACAGUCCCAAUAUGAUUGUACUGCCUUGAGUCCCAGCCCCAAAUGUGCUUCUCUCAAAAACCAUGCUUGUACUUCAACUUUUCUUUCCUAGGCUUUGGUUAACCUCCGCCAAUGGCUCUUUAAUAAUGGAAAGCUCAAAGGCCCUUCCAUUGUUUACUUUUCUGCCACAGUAGAACUCACCCUUAUCUGCAUAUAAGUUUCUUAGGGCCAGCCAAGAAACAGGAUAGUUAAAAAUCCAAACACUAACAAAAAUCUAUUAGAUUUCUAUCUACCAAUGCCAGCACUUAAAACAUCAUUAAGCCUACAGAUUACCUACCACUGACUGUGUUCCAAGUCCUGCUGGGAUACCAUAAUAGAUGAGCCCACCAGUCCCUGCAAGGAAGUAUAGCCUGCUUUCAGCCAUUCUUGGUUCUCACAAGUGCCUUGCCCACCUCACAUGCUGGGACUCUGAAUUCAGUCUCCUAAGAAUCAAAUCUAAAACUUGAGUCUCUCUUAGCACAGCAAAGAAAUCUGUAUCUCAGUUUGAUUCUAGGUUUCUCCUCUUUCAUUUUGAGGUUCUGGACAGAUCUGUCCAAACCCAGCCAAACCCAGCCUUUGCCUGUGACUGAGGGCUCUAGCUAGAGCCUGGCUUAAUGCUCCUCUGGGCUGGCAAAGACCAUUUGUGCUAAAGUCUGCCUGCACAGCUUCUAUCAGUUAAAACCUACUCCAUGUCUGCAGAUACCAGCCAGAGCUAUUGGAGACAAGAGAGACCCUAAUGCCACUGAUGACUAAAACCUUUCACUUAAGCUCCACCAGAAAUCUUGAUCUCUCCACUUGGAGUUUGGUCCCCAAAUGCUUGUCUUCUUAUCAGUUUUGCAAGGUUUCUCAGCCUAUGGUUAGGUACUAAAAUGCAAAGUAAUUACCUUCUUAAUUCUAAAACAGUUGAGCAAUAGGUGAAAGAACCGGAAAGAGAGCAAAAUUAUUAGCCUUACUUUUAGUACAGUUAGAACUGAGAAUGCAACUUGAACAAGAGACCAAAAUGGGCUUCCCACUCUUUCCCAAGUUAGAUUUUUGAAGCCACUUGGGGGAGAUUUGAGAUUGCAAAGACACUUACCCAGCCAGUCACAUGGGAUAUCUCAGCAAGCUUCACACCUCAAUGAGUGUAGAGUCCAAGUGCCAAAAAGAGUGAGGUGAGAGGUGUUCAGCUACCUUUAAUCUAUUAACACCACCCAAGAUAAAAAAAAGUAUGAGCCAAUGGAUGUCAGACUUUACCCUUCUCACUAAUCAGUUAAAUUGCGGAGAGGAACCAGUGAAAAGGUUGGACAGAUGGGCAAAAGGUUUCUUCCAAAAACGUAUGAGAGGGCAGAAGUUCCAAUUUUUUUGCCAAGCAAAACGUGCAAAAAGGGAGAAGAUGGUUCUUACAAACUGGAAAGCAAUCAAGACUUUCUGUGUCUACAGAUUUAGAGUCUCAUAUAUUUGGCAAAUUUCAAGAUGACCUCUAAGAUGUUUUUACCAAAUCGUAGACAUAGAUAUGGAAAUCAUCAUCAAAUUUGAUGAAGUACACAGAGGGUUUUGCUUCUACCUGAUGAAUGACCA